rnacentral:rRNA from 1 species
CAGCAGCCGCGGUAAUACGUAGGGGGCAAGCGUUAUCCGGAUUUACUGGGUGUAAAGGGAGCGUAGACGGAAUAGCAAGUCUGGAGUGAAAUGUAGGGGCUUAACCCCUGAACUGCUUUGGAAACUGUUGAUCUUGUGUACCGGAGGGGCAGGCGGAAUUCCUGGUGUAGCGGUGAAAUGCGUAGAUAUCAGGAAGAACACCGGUGGCGAAGGCGGCCUGCUGGACGGUAACUGACGUUGAGGCUCGAAAGCGUGGGGAGCAAACAGGAUUAGAUACCCUGGUAGUGCACGCCGUAAACGAUGAAUACUAAGUGUCGGCAUCCGAAGGGUGUCGGUGCUGCCGUUAACACAGUAAGUAUUCCACCUGGGGAGUACGUACGCAAGUAUGAAACUCAAAGAAAUUGACGG